rnacentral:rRNA from 1 species
AUGUUGCUUGAGAAUCUUGCUCGAAUCAUGCCAGAAAUCCAACAGGGCUACCACCCUCCCCGUCCUCGGGCAACCUGGGGUGCGCCUGAUGCACCAGCAACACAACAGCCUGUUUACACACAGCCUGGAGCUUAUCCUGGUGCACCACCAUACUAUAACCAAGAGCAGCAACCCCAACAGCAACAGUAUGCCACUGGAACUACUGCCCCUCCUGAUGCUAGCAGCUACAAUUACAGCCAGUCUGCUACUCAUGCUUCACAAGGGUAUGGUGAUUCUAUGUACUCUCAGCAGAGUGGCCGGCAGCAAGCUUAUGAUUACUCUGGUUAUCAGACCCAAGGGCUGUCUUACUCGCAGCAGCCUGGAUAUGAUUAG